AACGAACGCUGGCGGCGUGCCUAACACAUGCAAGUCGAGCGAGAAAGUCCCUUCGGGGGCGAGUAAAGCGGCGGACGGGUGAGUAAUACAUGGAUAAUCUUCCCUCGAGCCUGGGAUAACCCUGCGAAAGUGGGGCUAAUACCGGAUAAGACCACAUGACACAUGUCACGGGGUAGAAGGUGGCUUGUAUUUAUAUGAGCUAUCACUUGAGGAUGAGUCCAUGGCCUAUCAGCUAGUUGGUGAGGUAAGAGCUUACCAAGGCUAUGACGGGUAGCUGGUCUGAGAGGACGACUAGCCACACUGGGACUGAGACACGGCCCAGACUCCUACGGGAGGCAGCAGUGGGGAAUAUUGGGCAAUGGGCGAAAGCCUGACCCAGCGACGCCGCGUGGGUGAUGAAGGCCUCGGUUGUAAACCUUACGUCGUCGGAAGAAUAAGUCCUGUAGCGAAUAACUAACGGGAAGUUGUACGGUACCGGCCGAGGAAGGAAAGGACGACCGGCGUAACGUACCGUCGGACCCG
rnacentral:rRNA from 1 species